rnacentral:rRNA from 1 species
ACGAACGCUGGCGGCGUGGAUAAGACAUGCAAGUCGAACGAGAGAAUUGCUAGCUUGCUAAUAAUUCUCUAGUGGCGCACGGGUGAGUAACACGUGAGUAACCUGCCCCCGAGAGCGGGAUAGCCCUGGGAAACUGGGAUUAAUACCGCAUAGUAUCGAAAGAUUAAAGCAGCAAUGCGCUUGGGGAUGGGCUCGCGGCCUAUUAGUUAGUUGGUGAGGUAACGGCUCACCAAGGCGAUGACGGGUAGCCGGUCUGAGAGGAUGUCCGGCCACACUGGAACUGAGACACGGUCCAGACACCUACGGGUGGCAGCAGUCGAGAAUCAUUCACAAUGGGGGAAACCCUGAUGGUGCGACGCCGCGUGGGGGAAUGAAGGUCUUCGGAUUGUAAACCCCUGUCAUGUGGGAGCAAAUUAAAAAGAUAGUACCACAAGAGGAAGAGACGGCUAACUCUGUGCCAGCAGCCGCGGUAAUACGGAGGUCUCAAGCGUUGUUCGGAAUCACUGGGCGUAAAGCGUGCGUAGGCUGUUUCGUAAGUCGUGUGUGAAAGGCGCGGGCUCAACCCGCGGACGGCACAUGAUACUGCGAGACUAGAGUAAUGGAGGGGGAACCGGAAUUCUCGGUGUAGCAGUGAAAUGCGUAGAUAUCGAGAGGAACACUCGUGGCGAAGGCGGGUUCCUGGACAUUAACUGACGCUGAGGCACGAAGGCCAGGGGAGCGAAAGGGAUUAGAUACCCCUGUAGUCCUGGCAGUAAACGGUGCACGCUUGGUGUGCGGGGAAUCGACCCCCUGCGUGCCGGAGCUAACGCGUUAAGCGUGCCGCCUGGGGAGUACGGUCGCAAGAUUAAAACUCAAAGAAAUUGACGGGGACCCGCACAAGCGGUGGAGUAUGUGGCUUAAUUCGAUGCAACGCGAAGAACCUUACCUGGGCUUGACAUGUAAUGAACAACAUGUGAAAGCAUGCGACUCUUCGGAGGCGUUACACAGGUGCUGCAUGGCCGUCGUCAGCUCGUGUCGUGAGAUGUUUGGUUAAGUCCAGCAACGAGCGCAACCCCUGUUGCCAGUUACCAGCACGUGAAGGUGGGGACUCUGGCGAGACUGCCCAGAUCAACUGGGAGGAAGGUGGGGACGACGUCAGGUCAGUAUGGCCCUUAUGCCCAGGGCUGCACACGUACUACAAUGCCCAGUACAGAGGGGGCCGAAGCCGCGAGGCGGAGGAAAUCCUAAAAACUGGGCCCAGUUCGGACUGUAGGCUGCAACCCGCCUACACGAAGCCGGAAUCGCUAGUAAUGGCGCAUCAGCUACGGCGCCGUGAAUACGUUCCCGGGUCUUGUACACACCGCCCGUCACAUCAUGGAAGCCGGUCGCACCCGAAGUAUCUGAAGCCAACCGCAAGGAGGCAGGGUCCUAAGGUGAGACUGGUAACUGGGAUG